UGUGUAUCAAAGCUUCCAGGAUCCCUGACGGAAACCGAAGCAGCAGCGAGCCGACAAAGUGGAGGGUUUGAGAGCGGCGAGGCGGAGGAGGAGGAACAGGAGAACAGUUCCAUAAAAUUGUCAGAAGAAGCUGUAAGACCUCCUGCUACCAGAUUUGCACCUGAAGAGUCCAGAAGCUUUUCCAGCAAUCAGGAAGCAGCGUUAAACUGUGACCCAACAGUCAUUAUCACUGCAGGCCUCGACUGUUGGCGCUUAAACACAUUCAGCCACCGGAAAACUGGAAAAUGUGAAGCAACAGACAGAAAGAACCAACAUCAGCUGUUUACAAAAGGAAGAAAGAACUUUGAGAAGCAGCUGUCCAGUGCUGUGACAAGAUUCCACUGGUCCUCCAUCGGGGAUGACAGCUUCUCCCGUCUCCAACCACCUCCACUGGGUCCAGGGAUCGUCCAGGAGAGAGCCGGGAAUACUGCUACAUAGAAGACAACACAUAGUACAGUAUGAUGAGUGGAGUCACAAUUUAGUAUGAUGUUGUAGUGAUAUUUUGGACGACAUGCUAAAGUAUUACAUUUUUUUUGGUAUUUUUGGACCACAUACUAAAGUCUUACAUUUUUUUUUUUGAUUUUCAAACAGACUAGACUAUUACAUUUUUUUCAAUUUUUGGACGACUUACCAAAGUAUGAUGUUUUUUUGGUAAUUUUGGACCACAUACAAAACUAUGACAUUGUUUUUGAUUUUCAGACGAUAGACUAAACUAUGAGGUUUUUUUUGGGUGGCGUUUUGGUGAGUUUUUGGAGACUAAUAAAUGCAGUGCUUGUAAAAAUAAAUACCAGAAGAACCCCAACCAGCCAGUUAGAAUGUCUGUUGGAUGGAGGUGGAACAUCAUCUGGUUUUCUUCUGCUGGAGGAGACGACCUGCUGACGGAACACAAAUACAACAUCUGAUGAAGUACACAAAUUAAUGUGUCAAAUGGAUUUCUGUACUAUACAAUAAAGAUGAACUCUGAAUUAUUUACCUGUUUGUCGUCUCUUCGUUCUUCUCCUGUUGCUUUUAUUGGGCAGCGACCCUUCGUCACAUUACUGCCACCAGUUGUCCAUCAGUGAAACUGCAUGAGGCUACAGGGAGGAUUGUUUAUCUCUUCACACUCAUGCAACCGUGUGACAACAAACACAACAACCCACAACAGCAAGGUUCUGCACGUUCACUAAAUGGAAUCUAAAACCUUCGUAACGUCAUGUAGCCAAGUGGGUCAUUACAUUCCAGUUGUAAGUAACAAAAAGGUCUCCUCUGCUCUGCGUGAAGACGUGAUGAUUAGAAAAUGAUGCAAAACCAGACCAAAACAAAAUUCAGAAUUACAGGGAGCUACAGCAUCGUCAGGGCAACUGAGCUCCUCAAAAUACGAUACUAAACCAGAGACACAAAACUAAAGAAAAGAGAAAAGAUUAAUCCAAAAUCACUGUAAAGAGACACAAUCUUACUGCAAAACAAAACUAAAGUACCAUUAGGAGAUGUAAAACCACCACAGAGAAAUGCUAAACGAUGACUAAGAGACACGAAAUCACUGCAACAAGACACAAAACAAUUGAAGAGACACAAAAAACCUCUGCAUAGACAAAGGAUCAUUGUAAAGACAAAACAACCAUCAGAGAAAUAAAAGUGCAAAGAAACGUAAAAAACACUGCAGAGACAUGAAACAAUCACAAAGACGUAAAGAUUUGCAAAGAGAAACAUGAUCAAUCCAAAGAGAUGCCAAACCACAAAAAAGACACAAACUGCAGACAGCAGUAAUAAAACUCAGUCUGGAGGUUUAAAAAUGACGUUUAAUUUCUGCUAAGUUCUACUCGUCCACCAUCAGCUGAAAAUCUGAACUCAUGAACGUUGGAUCGUUGGGUUUCCUGUUUCCUACUAGCUAACCAUGCUAACGUUGUGAUGUUUGAUCUGAAAACCAGAGGAGCUUCAGAUGGUUGAAUUCUGGUUCAGUCUGGAAGCUGCUGAAGAUCAAACCCUCAGAUCUGGAUCUUCUGCUGGUCUGUCUGGACGUCUCUCUGCUUCCACUUCAGUUCUUUUAUACAUGAACCAGCUUCUCUCUGACAGAACCUCUAGAUAAC